CUCGGACAGAGUUGCAAUAUUCAUUUAAUUCUGGAUAGUUUUGAUCCCUCUCUCUCCGCAUUUCUGUGCAGUGAUACACCUGUAACAGGCCAACAGAAGGGGCUUAGGGAUGAUUCCUGUGCCCCAAAUUGCACCCUAUUCCCUACACAGUGCACUAAGUAGAGCACUAUAUAGGGAAUAGGGUGACCUUUGAGACGUGACCCACGUCCCCGACACGGACGGAUUAGCGUAAAACCUUUCUCUCCUCUCUCUCUCCCCUCUCUCAUCUCCUCUCUCUCUCUCAUCUCCUCUCUCAUCUCCUCUCUCAUCUCCUCUCUCUCCCCUCUCUCUCCCCUCUCUCAUCUCCUCUCUCAUCUCCUCUCUCUCUCUCCUCUCUCAUNNNNNNNNNNUUCAUAUAUUUUUAUGUUUUCUCUCUCUCUCUCUCUCUCUCUCUCUCUCUCUCUCUCUGCAUCCGAAAUAGGGUGCUAUUUCGGAUGCAGACCCUGUGAUGUGGUUUGCUGCAGAACACAAAUAUGCCUCUUUCCCUCCCUCUAUCUCUCCCUCUAUCUAUCCUUCUGUCAUCAACACAUCCAACCUAUCCCAUGUUAACCCUCUGUAUUUUCCUCUCACUAUCCUAUAUGAACUCUCUCCCUCUCUGUUGAGCUCUCUCUCCCUCCCUCUCUCCGUCUAUAUUUUCAUAAUCACGGUUUGAUUAAAUUACAGAUCUGUAAGUGAAUCCGCGAAACCUUUCCCCCCCACCUCUUCUCCUCUCCUCCUUGCUUCCCCCAAUCCCUAUCUCCCCCACCACUCUCUCUCUCACCCCUGCCAUUCUCUCUCUCUCUCUCUCUCCCCUGCCACUCUCUCUCUAACUGAGGUAUUACCAUCAUUUCCCACCCCCGUAUAAACAUCCACUGCUCCAUGUUUUCAUGUUACUCCUCUGAUUCCCCCAUAACAGUUCAAAUGGUGUCUGAUGGUGUCCCACCGUGAUAUCACAACUGUGACAUCAUCAUCUGAUGGCAGCCAUUACAGAACACAGGUAGUGUACACAUAAACAAAACUGUAGGUGGGUGUUGAAUGUUUGGCUCGAAAUAUGUUGAGAUGAGAGGAGGAUGGAUCGAAACUAAAGGGGGAGAGAGAGGAGGAGAACAAGAUAGAGAAAUGUGGAGAGAUUGAGAGGACUCGGACAGAGUUGCAAUAUUCAUUUAAUUCUGGAUAGUUUUGAUCCCUCUCUCUCCGCAUUUCUGUGCAGUGAUACACCUGUAACAGGCCAACAGAAGGGGCUUAGGGAUGAUUCCUGUGCCCCAAAUUGCACCCUAUUCCCUACACAGUGCACUAAGUAGAGCACUAUAUAGGGAAUAGGGUGACCUUUGAGACGUGACCCACGUCCCCGACACGGACGGAUUAGCGUAAAACCUUUCUCUCCUCUCUCUCUCCCCUCUCUCAUCUCCUCUCUCUCUCUCAUCUCCUCUCUCAUCUCCUCUCUCAUCUCCUCUCUCUCCCCUCUCUCUCCCCUCUCUCAUCUCCUCUCUCAUCUCCUCUCUCUCUCUCCUCUCUCA
rnacentral:lncRNA from 13 species